AGCUUACUACUUGAAUUACUUCAAGUCAAUUUCAUUUAUACCCAGAGUUAACGAAAUAUUUUCCUCACGAUGUAACAACGAAGAUAAUCGAAUAAUAACCUUCACAUGUGAAAAUGGAUCAGCGAUAAUAAAUUUUCUCAGAUGGGAUGAAAAACAAGAGAUGUUCCUCAGCACAGAAGACUAUUCGAUCAAUCUGGGUCGAUAUCCAGUUUACAUCAAACAAAUUGAAAUGGCUGGUAGAGAUUAUGUAUUUAUUGAAAACGAAGUAGAGAAGUCAGAGGAAAUGAAGGAUGAUUUUACAGAUCAUACCCAUGUUGGUGAAUUGAUUCAUUUCGAUCAAAGCACCAAAUUCAAGCAUACAACAUUUUUAACCAAAGGAACACAUUUUCUAACUUCCUUCAAAAUCGAGAGUAUGAACAGUUUCUGUUUAUUAUUUAUCGAUUUCCCGUUAGAUAUGAACAUACUCUGUUUGGGAGCUGAUGAAGAAUUUUACAUUCAUCAAAGACUGGAAUCAGAGAAACCAUUCAUGGCAUCUGCGUUGAGCGUAGCAGAACAUCAAUACCUGAUUACCAUCAGGAAAGAAGAUCCAAGAACUUCUAUUUGGAAAAUGAACGAUAAAUUCAAGUUUGAAAUAUAUCAGACACUCUACGAAGGUGACCCCAUUAGUCUUUCUUCUAUAUCAUGCACCCACGGAGCUUUCGUUGCAGUGGCUUAUGGACAUUUGCUGAACACCAAGGAGUUUGGGAAGGUGAUAAUAAGAAGAUUCGAUAAAAACUUGGAAGAAUUUGUCAUAUGGCAAACAAUUAAACUAAAAACCCCUGUACAAAUAGAAUUCGCACUGCUUCCAACACAAGAGUUAGUACUGUACAUAACAACAGAAAACCCGGCCGAACCUUUCAAUGUCUACAUCUACGAAGGAAUUUCUGGUUUCAGCAGAAAUGUUGGAGGCUCUACCAUACCCAACAUAAUAAAUAUGAACCAGUUUUCAUUGAAAAAUGGACACUUUGUUGUUGUGAAACAUUAUUAUGAAAUCGGAGUAAUUCAAGCUGUAUUCAAAGGUAGUAAACCCGAUUUUUAAUCAUUGGAAAAUGAUGUAAUUUGAAAGUAUAUUUAGUGAGAAUAUUAUUGUUAUGAUUGUUAUGUUUACAUACAUGUUCAAGUUUUUAUUCUGGGAUUUAUUCCAUGUUAAUAUAUGUAAAUAAAUACUUAAGAAAUCA
rnacentral:misc_RNA from 1 species